rnacentral:lncRNA from 1 species
GACCAACAGACCAUAUUCAUGGCCGACUGACCGUCUUCAUAGCCGACUCACCAUCCUCAUGUCAUGACCGACUGACCAUCUUCAUAUUAUGACCGACCGACCAUUUUCAUGGCCAACCGACCAUCUUCAUGUCAUGACUGACUGACCAUCUUCAUGUCAUGACCAAUUGAUCAUCUUCAUGGCCGACCGACCGUCUUCAUGUCAUGGUCGAGGACCAUCUUCAUGGCCGACUGAUCGUCUUCAUGGCCGACUCACCAUCUUCAUAUCAUGGCCGAUCGACCAUCUUCAUAUCAUGGCCGACCGACCAUCUUCAUGUUAUGGCCAAU